rnacentral:rRNA from 1 species
AUUGAACGCUGGCGGCAGGCCUAACACAUGCAAGUCGAGCGGUAGAGAGGUGCUUGCAUCUCUUGAGAGCGGCGGACGGGUGAGCAAUGCCUAGGAAUCUGCCCUAGUGGUGGGGGAUAACGUUCGGAAACGGACGCUAAUACCGCAUACGUCCUACGGGAGAAAGCGGGGGAUCUUCGGACCUCGCGCCAUUAGAUGAGCCUAGGUCGGAUUAGCUAGUUGGUGAGGUAAUGGCUCACCAAGGCGACGAUCCGUAACUGGUCUGAGAGGAUGAUCAGUCACACUGGAACUGAGACACGGUCCAGACUCCUACGGGAGGCAGCAGUGGGGAAUAUUGGACAAUGGGCGCAAGCCUGAUCCAGCAAUGCCGCGUGCAGGAUGAAGGCCUUCGGUUGUAACGUAGCUUU